rnacentral:misc_RNA from 1 species
CCGAGUACCGGGUCUUCGGGCCCUGCUCCCACCCUCUGUGUACCUACCUCUGUUUCGUUGCCUCGGCGGGGCUGAUCCCGCGCGGCCCUGGCGCCGCGUGGGGGACCCGCCGGGGGGACACAACCAAACUCUAAUUUAACGUCGAGUCUGAGAAAACACAAAUAAGUCA